CGCUGGCGGCACGCCUAACACAUGCAAGUCGAACGAAGUAGCAAUACUUAGUGGCAGACGGGUGAGUAACAUGUAGGUAUCUGCCCUUUGGCCUGGAAUAACACGAGGAAACUUGUGCUAAUACCGGAUAAGUCUUAACGGAGAAAGCUUUAUGCACCAUUGGAUGAGCCUGCACUUGAUUAGUUUGUUGGUAGGGUAAUGGCCUACCAAGACUGUGAUCAAUAGCUGAUUUGAGAGGAUGAUCAGCCACAUUGGGACUGAGACACGGCCCAAACUCCUACGGGAGGCAGCAGUGGGGAAUCUUGCACAAUGGAGGAAACUCUGAUGCAGCGAUGCCGCGUGAGUGAAGAAGGCCCUUGGGUUGUAAAGCUCUUUCGUCGGGGAAGAAAAUGACUGUACCCGAAUAAGAAGGUCCGGCUAACUUCGUGCCAGCAGCCGCGGUAAUACGAAGGGACCUAGCGUAGUUCGGAAUUACUGGGCUUAAAGAGUUCGUAGGUGGUUGAAAAAGUUGGUGGUGAAAUCCCAGAGCUUAACUCUGGAACUGCCAUCAAAACUUUUCAGCUAGAGUAUGAUAGAGGAAAGCAGAAUUUCUAGUGUAGAGGUGAAAUUCGUAGAUAUUAGAAAGAAUACCAAUUGCGAAGGCAGCUUUCUGGAUCAUUACUGACACUGAGGAACGAAAGCAUGGGUAGCGAAGAGGAUUAGAUACCCUCGUAGUCCAUGCCGUAAACGAUGUGUGUUAGACGUUGGAAAUUUAUUUUCAGUGUCGCAGCGAAAGCGAUAAACACACCGCCUGGGGAGUACGACCG
rnacentral:rRNA from 1 species